rnacentral:lncRNA from 1 species
UUCUAAUAGCUCGAUUGGUGCCUAGAAAUUCAUCAGGGAUGAUGUACAAUUGGCUCUACUUUUUUUUUAAGCACUUGAGUGUAAUAAGGAUAAAGGGGAAAGGAGAAAUUCAAUCUGAUGCUCUAACAAUGCAAUAUAAUACUUGAAAUUCCAUCUCUUGUAUUGCCGUCAAAAUCUUGAUUGAGAUAAAUGUAAUUCAAG